CCUACGGGCGGCAGCAGUAGGGAAUAUUGCUCAAUGGGGGAAACCCUGAAGCAGCAACGCCGCGUGGAGGAUGAAGGUUUUCGGAUUGUAAACUCCUUUUGUUAGAGAAGAUAAUGACGGUAUCUAACGAAUAAGCACCGGCUAACUCCGUGACAGGAGGCGCGGGAAUACGGAGGGUGCAAGCGUUACUCGGAAUCAAGGGGCGGAAAGAGCGCGGAGGCGGGAUAGCAAGUCAGAUGUGAAAUCCUAGGGUUUAACCAUAGAACUGCAUUUGAAACUGGUAGUCUAGAGUUUGAGAGAGGUAGGUGGAAUUCUUGGUGUAGGGGUAAAAUCCGUAGAGAUCAAGAGGAAUACUCAUUGCGAAGGCGACCUGCUGGAUCAUCACUGACGCUGAGGCGCGAAAGCGUGGGGAGCAAACAGGAUUAGAUACCCGAGUAGUC
rnacentral:rRNA from 1 species